rnacentral:lncRNA from 1 species
CCCAGAGGCGCAACAUCGCGAAACUUCCGGGGACGCUUGCGAAACAGACCAAACGGGGUUUGGGGUUUGAGAAGUCAAUGAGAGAAGUGACAAAUUCUUCCUUAGUUGUUCAUUUUCUCGAAAUCUAAACACAACACAACCGAGGACGUGUUCUACGCAUGAGUUUUGCUAGCCAACGUCGCCAUGACAUCGCCUACAAGUGUGGUCAAUGUUUUAUAUUAUCACGAGAGUGUUUGCAGAAGGGAGAAGCCGAGAUGUUCAACCUGUGGAAAAGAUCAGAAAAGUGAUGAAAAUGUGACGUGUUGCAAUUGUGGUGGGAACCAUGAAGCCAUGUCUUUGGAAUGUUAAAAGGGAUGAGAGUUCGUGGUGCUCCUGAAGAGUCAAAUUGUGGUGGAUAGGCCUUCACUGAAGGCUACAGGGGUUGCCAUUAAUGACCUGAGAGGGUGGUACAGGACCCAGAUAUGGACCCAGAUAUGUUAAAGGUUAAGAAGGUGGUCUUUAUAGCUAUGGUGAUUAAUGGCACUGUCAAAGUGGGGAAUAGAUAUAAUUAUGGAUGUGGCAGAACGGUUCCUGGGACUGAAAGACUUCACGGUGGAGGAGUUGCAUGGAGGAUUGUCACAAGCCGUACCACCCUCUCAGAUCAUAGAGCCUGAGGAGGGAGAUAUGGAGAUUUGAAGGAAGGAAGAAGUGGGAGGUUUUGGUUUUAUCAAUGUGUUUUUUUUAUAGUUUUAUUUUGGGUGGAUUAAGUUAGUUUUCCCUAUCACGUAUGGGUUUUAUUUGUACCUUGUUUUUUUCAACCCCGUCCAGUUGGUGGCGGUAGUACACGUUUUGGGGUUGUAAUCUGCCAUAAAAGCCAUAGAAGAAGGGGAUUUCUAUUGGGGAAGUAGUUUUAGCCGAUCUACAAGCAGAUUUUGACGUGCUGGGCCUUGCUGUAUAAACCAAACUUUUCACCUCAUAAAUGUUUUAUUUGGAAUAAUGGGUCGAUAUUCGAUAGAAACAAGAUGAUAUUUUACCGUAACUGGUUCUCGAAAAACAUCCUUGUCAGCCAAUUAUUUGGUAUUAGUGGGAAUCUAUUUACACAGAGAGAAUUUAUGGAAAGAUACAACUUUGAAGUUUCAAGCAUAUGACACUGCUAUAAAAGCUAUACCUCGAUAAAAUAUUUACUUCAGAAUAAUGCAUAUUUUGUAACAUCUCCUAUUGCAAGCGAUAUCUAGGUGAAUGGCAUAGGUUUACUAGAUAAUACAUUCAAUAAUUGUUUAAUAAGGGAUACUUUCUACAGGAAUUCUAUUCCUUCUGCUAUAUUUCGUUGGGCUUCAUCAUUUGAUGUGAACUGGAGCCAUGCUUGGCUCACCCCACACAAGUGUAUGGUGACCAAUAAAGUAAAUGAGAUCUCCUAUAAGAUUAUCCAUAGACUCUACCCAUGUAACAGCUUGAUUUCUAAAUAUAUAGCUGAUGUUACAAGUGAAUGCAGUUUUUGUGAACUAGAAACUGAAUCUAUUGAACAUUUAUUGUGUAAUUGUUUACAUAGUGAGGUGUUCUGGACUGAUGUAAAAAUACAUCUUGGCAACAAAAUGCAUACCACCAUUGAAAUUUUGACAUAUUAGUUCACUACACUGAUUCCACAAUUGAACGUCAGUAUGUCAUAAAUCUAUUUAUUUUAUUAGGAAACAGUCUCAUACAUAAACCAACAUUUAUGAAGAAAAAGGCAAAAAACAAUUUUUAAAUCUGAUUUGGAAAACUAUUUAGAAUCAUUAAAACAUAUACAAAACAAAAUGUCUAAAAAAAUGAUUCGCUACAUGUCUAUAUUAUGUCUCUGUUAUCCCUCUGGCUGUUCUGUUUUUUUGUGUUUUGCAUGUUACUGUUUAAUAAUAAUAAAAAAUAAAAACAA